rnacentral:tRNA from 1 species
GCGCCCGUAGUUCAACUGGAUAGAGCAGGAGCCUUCUAAGCUUCGAGUUGCAGGUUCGAGUCCUGCCGGGCGCGCCA